GGACGUCACGGUUUGAGAAGUUGAUGUCUUGUUCUUUCAAGAUCUCUCGGGCUAGCGACGGAGUGUUGAGCACGACGUUUAGUUUUGAGCCAAGGUUGAGUCUGAAGAUUGGACCGUAUUCUUGAGCGAGGUCUCUGAAGUAGGUGUGAAGGUCCGGUUUAAGAAACGGGAGGUUUCCGACGAUAGGUAGCCCUCGGGGUCCAGGUGGUAGAGGCGGUUGCGGCGAGCGUUUGAGAAGGAACCAGAGAACUGUAAUGAUAGUAGUGAGAACUAGAAUUGCGUAAGGAGGAACGUUCAUUGUGUUGUCGGUGAAGAGAUUUGAAAUCGGAGACAUAUCUUUUAUGUCUGUUUGUAGAAACUUUGAGAUAAAUGUGGUUGUAUGGUGUUUUUGCACAUCAUCAUUUCAGCUUCAGACGUUUCCCAAUAUAUAGAAAAAAUGUCAUAAAAAAAAUUAUAGUAAAAACCAAAAUUUUUUUGUGGACAUCUGGAAAUCUAAAUCCUGUGAAAGUGAUAAGAAACUUGCCAACAAAAAAAUAUUUUAUUCAUGAAUACUUAUUCCUUUAAAAUAUGGGUUUUUAGUAUAACUAUUUUUAGAUCGGAUGAAAAACUUUCAACUAAAACUUUAUGUUUUAAGACCCUCCACUAUUAAACUGUUAAUGAUAUUAACCAUCCAUCGGUAAAGUCGUCUUUUCUGAACGGAGAUCUGUUAAAUUGAAACGCGGAGUUUUAUUUAAUCACAAAAACGACACGAGAUGUUUAAUUUUUUUUUGUUUUUAGUGAUUUAAACUUCCAACUAUUUUUAGAUCAGACGAAAAAACCUUCCAACUAAAAGUUUAUGUUUAUAAACCCUCAACUAUUGAAACGUAAAUGCAUGUAACCCUCUCUCAAUGGCGUCUAUUCUGAACGGAGACAUGAUGGUAAAUUGAAACGCUUUAAUCAGAUAAAUGACAUGAUAUGUUUAAAUUCAUCACGAUUGGUGUCAAAACGGCAUGAUUUUUUGAACCAGAUUUUAAAUCCCCUCAUUCUCUCUCUAGUUCGAUUCAAUAGGCGGUGAUUCAAUCUGUUCUUCCAAACCAUCAUAUGGUUUAUCAAGUGUUUAGUCAGGCUAGAGAACAAGGUACAUUGCAUAUAUAGUUUUGGAUUCACAAAAUAGAUUGAAUUACUACAGUGUAUAUACAUCAAAGCCCCAAGCGAGUUUAUUAUUAUUAUUUUCCUAUUUUAGUUAUAUUAAAGAAAUUUGACCCCAAAAAAGGAAAUUUGGACAGAUACGAAACUAAUAUCAAAGCAAUGACAAAUGCUCUUAGUUCAAUAAUUUGUUUUUAAACCGAAAUUGAUGAUUAUUUUUAUUACACAAACAUACCUGACGUUCGAAAACUUCAUAAAUACAAAGAUCUUAGUUUCUACAGAUAAAGAUUAGGAUCAGACAACCUCGGAACGGGCAUGGCAAUAAGAGGGUUUUUGAGCUUCAAGACAAUACCAAACUUAUCUUCCACAUUUAACUCAUGGCCUUCUGGAACCUUCCAAUCGAAUGAAUGCAACAGCGUUGCAAGAGUGUACUGAACCAUCCUCUCUGCGAGUGCUACACCGGCGCAGAUUCUCCGGCCAGAUCCAAAAGGAAGAAAGCUAUAGUCAGUUCCAUGGAAAUCACAAGACUUCUUAUCAAGAAACCUCUCGGGACGAAAUUCGUUCGGGUUUUCCCACACAUUUGGAUCUCUUUGAAUAGACCAAACAUUGAUGAAGAUUUUAGUGUCCUUAGGGACGGUGUAACCGCCGACCACAGCUGUUUCAGCUGGACGGUGAGGGACUAACAAAGGAACGGUCGGGUAAAGCCUAAGUGUUUCUUUCAUAAUGGCUACUAUGUAAGGAAGUCUAGUGAUGUGUGAUUCUUCAACAAUGUUAUCCUUUCCUACAACUUCGUCUAGCUCUUGUUGCGCUCUCUUCAUCGACUCUGGGUUCUUUAUAAGCUCGGCCAUCGCAAACUCUAUCGUGUUUGUAGAUGUAUCAGUACCACCAAUCACCAUAUCCUUCGCAUAUACAGUACGUAUAUAACAAACAUGAAUCAAAAUCAUUCUCAUGAGCUAAGAGACAUGUUAUGAAACAAUUAAGGGCAAAUCUCUAAAAAUAACAUAAAAGAUUGUUUUUAUGACCAAAAGAACACAGAAAAAAUGACUAAAUUAAAUAUGUUUCAUUAAAAAGGUAAAUAACAAUUAUAUUUCUACUUAAAUAUUUUUAAAAGAGAUUUUCGCAAUAAACUGAAUUUUUUAUUUAAAAAAAAAUAUUCUAAUUUUUUCUCUCCAAAAGAACCAGAACAACCCAAAAUUAAACUCUUGGGGGAGGAGUAUAAAUGUCUUUUACUCUUCAAUAAAAUCUAUUUUAGUUAUUUUGAUUUUGAAAACUAUUUUUGUGAUAAAAACUUUUUAGUACUGCUAUAUUUCUCAACAGUUAAUUACCGCGAGAACAGCUUUGACAUGGUUAACCGUAAUGGGAACCUCCGAGUUGGCUUCUUGGUCCUUUAGCUUCAUCAACUGUUGCAAAAAGUCUUUGCACUCACCAUCAUCCUUACUUUCUAGUUUUGGCAUCUUCUCAAUGGCUCCGUCGAAUAUGGCAUUAAGCUCACGAGAACACACGCGCAUCUGCUUCAAGAGCCCUUGAAGAUCGAAUCUCGCUAGCCACGGAAAGAAAUCCGAAAUAUUAGGCUCACCCAAAAGCCUAGUUAUCUCAGAAACCACUACUUUAAACUCUGUUCCAACACUAUCCAUCUCCUCGGCUUUCACCGAACCUCCCCACAACAUAUUAAUCGUUAGAUUCAUCAUCGUCACGAACAAUUGAUCACCAACGUUAACCGCCGCCUCUUCUUGACUUUUCUCGUAUAAAAACCUCGUUCUCUCUCGGAUCUCUUUGCGCCUUAGCUCGUAAAUUGAAUCCAACGUUUUGCGGUUAAGUAGUUUGAGAACACAAACUUUUCUAAGCAUUCUCCACUCCGCACUGUACGGUAACCAAACAAUGUCGAGACCACCAUAGGUAAUGGCUCGAGCCGUGAGAGGGACGUCACGGUUUGAGAAAUUGAUGUCUUGUUCUUUCAAGAUCUCUCGAGCUAGCGACGGAGUGUUGACCACGACAGUUAGUUUUGAGCCAAGGUUGAGUUUGAAGAUUGGACCGUAUUCUUGAGCGAGGUCUCUGAAGUAGGUGUGAAGGUCCGGUUUAAGAAACGGGAGGUUUCCGACGAUAGGUAGCCCUCGGGGUCCAGGUGGUAGAGGCGGUUGCGGCGAGCGUUUGAGAAGGAACCAGAAAACUGUAAUGAUAGUAGUGAGAACGAGAAUUGCGUAAGGAGGAACGUUCAUUGUGUUGUCGGUGAAGAGGUUUGAGAUCGGAGACAUGUUUUUACAGCUGUUUG
rnacentral:lncRNA from 1 species